rnacentral:rRNA from 1 species
AGAGCUUGCUCUCGGGUGACGAGUGGCGGACGGGUGAGUAAUGUCUGGGAAACUGCCUGAUGGAGGGGGAUAACUACUGGAAACGGUAGCUAAUACCGCAUAAUGUCACAAGACCAAAGAGGGGGACCUUCGGGCCUCUUGCCAUCAGAUGUGCCCAGAUGGGAUUAGCUAGUAAGUGGGGUAACGGCUCACCUAGGCGACGAUCCCUAGCUGGUCUGAGAGGAUGACCAGCCACACUGGAACUGAGACACGGUCCAGACUCCUACGGGAGGCAGCAGUGGGGAAUAUUGCACAAUGGGCGCAAGCCUGAUGCAGCCAUGCCGCGUGUAUGAAGAAGGCCUUCGGGUUGUAAAGUACUUUCAGCGGGGAGGAAGGUGUUGUGGUUAAUAACCACAGCAAUUGACGUUACCCGCAGAAGAAGCACCGGCUAACUCCGUGCCAGCAGCCGCGGUAAUACGGAGGGUGCAAGCGUUAAUCGGAAUUACUGGGCGUAAAGCGCACGCAGGCGGUCUGUCAAGUCGGAUGUGAAAUCCCCGGGCUCAACCUGGGAACUGCAUUCGAAACUGGCAGGCUAGAGUCUUGUAGAGGGGGGUAGAAUUCCAGGUGUAGCGGUGAAAUGCGUACAGAUCUGGAGGAAUACCGGUGGCGAAGGCGGCCCCCUGGACAAAGACUGACGCUCACGUGCGAAAGCGUGAGGAGCAAACAGGAUUAGAUACCCUGGUAGUCCACGCCGUAAACGAUGUCGAUUUGGAGGUUGUGCCCUUGAUGCGUGGCUUCCGGAGCUAACGCGUUAAAUCGACCGCCUGGGGAGUACGGCCGCAAGGUUAAAACUCAAAUGAAUUGACGGAGGCCCGCACAAGCGGUGGAGCAUGUG